rfam:Eubacterium saphenum ATCC 49989 genomic scaffold Scfld0, whole genome shotgun sequence.
GGGGAUGUCAUGGUUUCGACAGGAAUUUUGAAGCAAGAUAAGCGAGCCGAAGAUUGCUCAGUCUUCGUAAAAAUGGGCACGUUAAGAAUAAACGGAAAAACAAACAAAUUAGCAUUUGCUGCCUAAGCAGCUUGCCACUUCGUAUGAGUCUCCUGCAGCUUAUGCAUGAAGUGUCAAUUAUGCAGGAAGCAUUUUGUAAGUGUUCGGUAGCAAAAUGUUCAUUCACGGACUAGCGAUCUUUUACCUUGCCAACACGGGUAAGGGAUCAGCGAAAUAAUAAAGUUUGGCUACGCUCGAAGAAAGUUUUGUGGAUAGGUUUUUGGACAGGAGUUCGACUCUCCUCAUCUCCACCA